ACAGUACAAACUGAGCAGGCGAUGCAUACAGCAGUAUCUGUAUGAAUGGGGCCGGGCCGCGUCGCGGCAGCAGAUGAUGAUUUCAUAUCCUGGGUAAGGAUAUUUUAUAUUGCCUUUGGGCGUAGAAAGAGAAUCUGUGGGACAGU
rnacentral:ncRNA from 1 species